AAUAUAAUUUGAAAAUUUUUUAAACAGAAACCCUAAAUAGUUGUGGGUCUCAAUAUAAACGAAAUUUAUCUAUUCUUAACAAAAUGAACAGAAACAGACCCAUUUUUCGCCUAACACCUGCAACAAUUUUUUUAAAUCCAAAUAUAGAUGUUGAAACUGAAAAUGUAACUCCUAAUGCUGAAAUCACUACUAAUCCUGGAAAUUGCUCUCCAACUGACAUAAUCCAGGACACCCAACAGCUGACCAGUACCGAUAACAACGAAGAAGACGAGAAUACUUCGAACAUUCAUAAAAGUGAGACACAAAAAGAAAUCGAAGAUUUAUAUGAUGAAACAGAUUUACUUGAUAAGUUAAAUCAAAUAUACGAGCGACGUCUUGUUGAAAAUGUAGACGACGGAUCUGUUAAGGUUACACUAGCGACUUAUGAGGAAUGGGUCAAUUCUCUUAUAAAAAUAAAUAAAGAUAUUUUAGACAAUACAGCAGAAUUAGAGUCGGGAGUGGCGGAAAUUUUAAUAAAAGAGAAAGAGUGCAGAAGAGAAAGGAAACAAAAUGAAAAAACACUUCAUAAGAAAUACUAUAAUGACAUAUAUAAAUUAAUUCGAAUCUAUCGCAAUGCAAAGGAAACUAGCGUUUGGAAAUUUGACGUACAUUUUGAAACAAUUGAUAAGCUGGAAUUUUUGAAAGGUUUCAUUCAGCAACAAAAAACAGAAAACGAACUCACCAACGAUAAUCGAAAAACGAAAUAAAACCUACUAAAUUUCUGUAGAUUUUGUGCUAACAACACAAAAGCAACACUUGCCAACUAAUAAGACAACAACAACACAAACACUCAAACACACGCACACUUAAGAAAUUUAAUUAAAAAUGGCCGCUGUUCAACGUAAACUCGUGCAUAAACAAUUCAACUCACCCAUGGGCUUAUAUUCCCAGCAAAACGUCAAGGAAACAUUGGAUCGCGAGCUGAAGGCUUUCGGCGCUGACGGUGUGGCAAUGCGGCGUUGACGAUUGCAACUUUGUGACUUUUGCGGUUUUGGGAUUGUGUUAAUGA